GGGUGGGGAAUAGCCCGCCAGUUCUUGUCCGCUAAGGGGAAUGAUUCAUAGAGUGUCAGGAGGGACAGUUCUGCUCGUGAAAGCUCACUACGAAGCUGAACUCUUCUCAAGGCUGGUAGACUGAUGAGAGCAGGCAGGGGCUGGGCCUGACCCCGUCUUUGGAGGCUCGUCAGGCCUCCGCCGAGCCCUGGGCCUUGCAGGGGGAGGCCCCAAGGCGCCGGUUGCUGGGGGAGCGGUGACGUCUCGGGGUGAAAGUUGAGGGGCGGUGACGUACGGCCUGCCCGGGCGGAGGCUGGCGGGUUGGAGACUGGAGGGAGGGAGGGAAGGAGGGAAGGAAGGAAGCUGGGAAGGAGCGAGGUAGCGGGGGCGAGAGGCGUUUACCUGGGAGGCAGCGGCUGGGGUGCGCACAGCGGCCGCGGCUCCCCCGCACCUGCGGCCAUGGAUGAAGAGCGCGCCCUCUACAUCGUCCGGGCCGGCGAGGCGGGGGCUAUCGAGCGGGUCCUGAGGGAUUACAGCGACAAGCAUAGGGCUACUUUCAAAUUUGAAUCAACAGAUGAAGAUAAAAGAAAGAAACUCUGUGAAGGUAUAUUUAAAGUCCUUGUAAAGGAUGUCCCAACAACAUGUCAAGUGUCCUGCCUGGAAGUACUCCGCAUUCUCUCCAGAGACAAAAAGAUUUUAGUUCCUGUAACAACUAAGGAAAAUAUGCAAAUACUGCUGAGACUAGCCAAGUUGCACGAGUCGGAUGAUUCUUUGGAGAAGGUGUCAGAGUUCCCGGUUAUUGUAGAAUCGUUAAAGUGUCUGUGUAACAUUGUGUUCAACAGUCAGAUGGCCCAGCAGCUCAGCCUGGAACUGAAUCUCGCAGCAAAGCUCUGUAACCUCCUGAGAAAGUGCAAGGACCGAAAAUUUAUCAAUGACAUCAAGUGCUUUGACUUGCGCCUGCUCUUCCUCUUGUCACUUUUGCACACUGACAUCAGGUCACAACUGCGCUAUGAGCUCCAGGGACUACCGCUGCUAACCCAGAUCUUGGAAAGUGCCUUUAGCAUCAAGUGGACCGAUGAGUACGAAUCGGCCAUAGACCAUAAUGGACCUCCUCUUUCACCUCAGGAGACAGACUGUGCCAUUGAGGCCCUCAAAGCUCUCUUCAAUGUGACGGUAGACAGUUGGAAGGUGCAUAAAGAGAGUGACUCUCAUCAGUUCCGUGUCAUGGCAGCUGUCCUUCGCCAUUGUUUACUAAUCGUAGGUCCAACUGAAGAGAAAACAGAAGAGCUGCACAGCAAUGCUGUCAACCUUUUAAGCAAUGUUCCAGUCUCUUGUUUGGAUGUUCUCAUUUGUCCAUUAACCCAUGGAGAAACAGCUCAGGAGGCAGCGACUCUAGAUGAACUGCCCGGUGAUAAAACAACUGAGAAAGACACAGUUUUAAAAAGCAAUGCCAUGGUAUACAAUGGCAUGAAUAUGGAGGCCAUUCAUGUUCUACUCACUUUUAUGGAGAAGAGAAUUGACAAGGGAAGCAGCUAUAGAGAGGGUCUAACUCCGGUUCUCAGCUUAUUAACAGAGUGUUCCCGAGCCCAUCGGAACAUCCGAAAAUUUCUCAAAGAUCAGGUUUUACCACCAUUGAGGGAUGUGACAAAUCGACCUGAAGUUGGCUCAACUGUGAGAAAUAAGCUGGUGCGCCUCAUGACACAUGUUGACCUUGGAGUCAAGCAAAUUGCUGCUGAAUUUCUUUUUGUCCUUUGCAAAGAGAGAGUGGAUAGUCUGCUGAAAUACACUGGCUAUGGGAAUGCUGCAGGACUGUUGGCGGCCAGGGGCCUCUUGGCUGGAGGAAGAGGAGAUAAUUGGUACUCAGAGGACGAGGACACGGACACUGAAGAAUACAAAAACGCAAAACCAAACAUUAAUCUUAUCACUGGUCAUUUAGAGGAACCAAUGCCAAACCCUAUAGAUGAAAUGACAGAAGAACAAAAAGAAUAUGAAGCCAUGAAACUUGUCAACAUGCUUGAUAAACUUUCCAGGAGAGCAGAUGUGAAGGACCAGCCCCACGAUGGUGGUUAGCAACAGCGGCCCGUGCCAAAGCACUUACCAAAGUGAUUACUAAGACCCUGUCAUUAAUUCCAUGUGUCAAUACUGCCCUGUAGUACACAGAGCAGACAAGAAAGAAGAGCCCUUGAAAACAAGGGAAUGAUUUUUGAGUCGUUAUCAAGCUAAGUGGCAAGCGGGAAGCUGAAACUCGUAUAGUUGAACAUUCUUGGAGGCUUAUCUCUUCCCUGGCCAGAUGCCUGAUCAGAUGAGAAGCCCGCCAUGAUACUGUCACAGUGCCUAGAAUGGGCUCUUUAUCCAGUAGACAUCACUGUACUUUUUGGUGAUAACGGGGGCAGUCUUAACUGUGUUAAGGCCUGUGUAUAGCAUUGAAGAGAGGAGUUGCUUAAACCAAUGGGACUAAAACCUGACGGGACAAUAACGCCUUUGGAGGAAGCACUCAGCCAGUAUUCUGUCAUCGAAGAGACCAGCUCUGACACAGACUGAAAAGCAUCAUCACCUGCUCCACUCUCUGUGGCUUUUAUCAGCGUCUUUUCUUGGUAGCUCCAGGGGAAUCUUUCUCUCUAAAACAUUUAUGCCCUUGCUUUGGCUAGAAACACAUUAGCUGGUUUACUCGUUGAGAACCCAGCGUAUUUAAAAGGUGGUCCUGUGUUCUCUGCAACACUGAGACGUCACACAGAGCAGGAGUUAGACAGAGUUGUGGGCUAGCAGCAGAGGCAGUCAUUCCAUUUCGUGAGGAAGCAGCCCUGGUCCAGGCUGGUAGUCUUGUUGCCAGGAUUCCUAGGCGAAGAUUCAUCCAUGUCCUUCCACCCACUUGUGUAAACCAUCCCUUCCACGUCUCUCCAGCAACCCCAAGGCACAUGAGAGCCCGAGGAGCUGGUAAACAAGGGCUGAGGCCAGUGACUCCUUAGGUCAGCAGUGACUGUGUGGAAGCCAGGCAGCUGCUCCGUGAGCCCAGCCCCACACUUCAUUUCAGCUUUCUCUAGACGUGGAAACACACAGAGCCCCAGACUUACAAACCUGUUACACUCGGAGAGUUUGUAUGUCACUUAGUUAAAACUUGAGAGUACAUCUCUCCUAUGAGGAGUUAAAAAUGAUGGUUUCGUUCCAGGCAGCUACAUGUGCCUAUUUACCCCCAAUGUUCCUGAACACUACAUGCACCGUAGGGCUGGACCACCAUCUGUACCACUGCAUCCAGAGCGUGCAUUCUGAGGUCUCACUCAGGGUGCCAAGUACAUACUCAUCCUCCAGGCAACAGAGAGGAUGGGGCUCCCCGAGUAGUGGGAGUUCUUUUGUGGCCUGUGCUGGGGGUAGGGAGCCAACAGCACCCAUUUGUACAUAAAGGUCAUUCGUAUGUCACAUGUUUUAACAAGGGUCUCUGUGUGUAUUUGUGUGUGUGUUCUUUCUACCAUAUGUGAUCAGUUUAAUGGUAACCUUAUUUAUUAAAAAAAGAAACACAAAUAGUUACUAUUAAACUGAUCAAGGCUGUUAAUUUUUACUCUUAGAAUGAUCAUAUGAAGUAGACGUGCAAUCAUGUAGACAGCAGGCCAAGUUGAUCAGUGGCUAAAGUUGAAAAGGGGUUGGUUCCUUUCAUAUAUGUAUGUAUGUGUACAUACACAUACAUACACAUAUGCACACACAUAGAUUAUGUGCUUAACCACUGCCUUUUAAAACUUUAAAUUAAAUAAAACAUUGGGGAUGAUUCAAUUUAGCCAUCUGUGUGUGUUUCUUUAUGGAUCCAUGGACUAACGAUGCCAUUGCACAGUUUAUGUUUUAAAGUUUCUCCAUCUGUUGCCUCUCUUGUCAUCACGUACCCUCUCUAAAAGACAGUGUGCACAGUACUGUGAGAACGCCAUUCAUCCUAAAUUGUUGUUGACAAAACCACACAUCAGGAAUUGAAUUGUAAAAGGCCUUUGAGCUGCCAGAGAGAUGUCAGUCAGUUUCUUAAAAUUUACCCAGAGGGAACCUUAAAGAACAGUGGCAUCACUAAGAUUUACGUUCAUGUCUAACGUGAUUGCUUGGCCUUGCCCCCACCCCACACAAGCAGAAAGGGAGUUUCCCGGAGUUAAAGCCAGCCGCUGAAGGUGAAAGAAGCCAGCUGGGUCUAGCGGGCCUGCAGCACCCAUCCAUCCAUCACGGCUCAGAUGGGGCCAGAGUGCCUGCCGCCAUGGGAGAGAAGCCCUGCCCAGGAGAGCAAAUCUGGGACUCUGCUUACCUAAGAGCACCCAAGCUGACCCAGAAAACAAUGACCAUAGACAUAUUUUCCUAAUGGUGGCCCUGAGCUGCUGUAACAGAAUAAAUCAAAUUCAGAAUGCUUUGUAAUCCACUAGGAAGAGUUACGUGUGUUAUAGGAUUUUUAUCCACAGUUGUUGGGAAGAGCUUGUGGUCCAUGUUUUAGCCAAUGGCAUAUAAAAUUUUCAUUUUAUUUGGCAAUUCAUAAUUUUAGCUUAAAAAAUCAGAAAAAGGGAAUUUAAUUAACUAUUUUGUUAUUUCAUUCUACAAAUGCGUUUUGAAAGUAUUUUUGUAAUCUGUGGUCAGGUAGCUUUUCCAUGAGUAUCAGCCUAAUAAAUCAGGCCAUGCCUGCUGAGAUGCCCCUGGCUGCGCUGCACCUCGUGCUGCAUAGUGCUGCAGUGAGGGUGCUCCUAGGCUCCCGGUGAGCUCUCUCACUGUGCAAAUCUCUCUGCUACUGGGCACUUCUUUCUCUUAAGGGGUAGUUCUUAGAAAGAAGAUGGAGCAGUUUCACCUUGCACACAAAGACCUCUGAGCACCAAGUUCCGUGUCUCCUCUAUAACUUCACCCCAUCUCACGGCAACUUCCCCUUAGUUCCCAGCCCGGCAGCCCCCCAGAGUCCAGCUGCAGGCGCGCUUGACUUAGCACCUCCCCCACGAAUGCCUGACCACACAGCCAGAGGCUUUGAGAUGGAAGCAGCCCCGGCUGCCCAGAGUGGUGGUUCGUAGGCCAUUUUAAGCAAUAACCUGUAGCAGAAGCAGUCUUGGACUUUCCCAUCAUGGAGGUGCCGGCAUGUGAGUGAGAAGCAUGGUCAGUUAGCAGAGUUCCACGAGGACCUGGGCACCCUUAGGUCAGAGACAGUGAUGUGGGCCACUCCCUCUGCAGUGACAAUGAUGGGGCAGUGACCACUGCAGUCUCUAGCCCUCUGCCCACACUGCACUUUGAAAGGAUGGGUGAGGAAGUAUACCCUACAACAAGGCAUUCGAGCUGCUUGAAGGAAUAGUUCCCAGGUGGUUGUGACCCUUUCAGGUACCCAGGGGCCCUCAGUGGCAGACAUGGCAGAUGCCACCCUUCCUUCAUGUAUGACAGGCCAAAGCUUUGCAAGGGACUAAACGGCGCUUCAGCAAGCACACGCACUUGCUGCCUCCUAGGACUAGGUGUCAGCAUGCACCCCCUUGUCUGUCAAAGACAUACCUGCUCCUUACAUAAUGUUUGGAAAGUGCAGGAAACAAUAAGACUCAUCAUCGGCCCAGAGUCGUCCCUCCCUGAGCUUCCGUGUUGAUGUUUAGUGUCUCCCCUUCCUGUGUUUUUCUAUGCAUAUAUAAUUUAUUUUACUACAAGAUUGGGAUCAUGCUGUGUUUACAGAUUUGUACCCUGCUUUCUUUAACAUAUUGUGAGCAUUUUCCCAUACCAAUAAAUAUUCUUCAAAUGUUAA